rnacentral:lncRNA from 1 species
CAUUAGGAAGUUCAUCUGCAACAGCUGUGUGUGGAGCCCAGGAUUUGAACAGCAGUGAGGCUGCAGGGCAGGACUGAGGGACAUUGACAGAGCUGGGGUGUGGGGGAGCUUCUGUAGUGCAUGCCCAAACCAGACCUUGUUUUCUUUCUCUCUCCCAGCUGAAUAAGGAGACUCAGACAUACUCCUUCACCAUGAGCCAAGACAUUCCAGUGAAGGAUCUGAAGCCAGCAGUGGUCAAAGUCUAUGAUUACUACCAGCCAGAUGAGCAGGCGACAGUGGAAUAUACAGAUCCAUGCCAGUGAGGUGAGCAUGGCUUUCAUGGAGUAGUAUGCACCAUUAUUGUGCAACUAAUACAAGCAUAGGCAUGAGGUGAAGAAAUGAGGUACACCUCUACCCUGAUAUAACACGGUCCUCCGGAGCCAAAAAAAUCUUACCAUGCUAUAGGUGAGACCGCUUUAUAUCGAACUUGCUUUGGCCUCCUUGUCCCCUGAAUGCCCCGACCCUAUCC